rnacentral:lncRNA from 1 species
GGGAAUAGUGCCAGGCACCAGCCUGGCACAUACCCAUUCGCCUGAUUGGGCGGUUUGCAGCUUUUGCAAACCCUAAUUUCUUUGAAACGUAGACAACAUAGCUAGAGGCAAGAAAGAAACAGAGAAUAAGGCGGGAAAACAUCAGGCUCAAUCCUCCGGUAAAGAGAGUUCCGGACCCGGCGAUCUAAGGCGAUUGGCUUCAGGAAUCUGCGACGCACUCCGGCGGCGCGUUUAAUGUUUUCCUCGGAACCCUAACAGUAGUUGCGGUGUCGGUCACACAAGUGUGAAACAACGGCGUAUGACGGUAACGAGGGGCGGUUCCGGCGACUAUCGUUUUUUGGUGGCGUGCACAAACUGUAUGAGAGAAUGUGGCACGCUGGUGCAGAACUAAAGACCCGGUGAACAUGUUCCGGCAUGCGCGCGGCUCACACAGGUGGAAGAAAUUGGGGUAUAGAAUCGUGCAAACAACUAUCUGGUGUAUCUGGAGAGGCCGCAACGAAGUGGUUUUCAAACGAAAACAGAGGAAAACAUGAUUGACAUCGGCAACACAAAGAGGAUUCAAUACCUGCCCUAAGAAAGCCAGCCAAUAAACACACACUUUUGAAGCUCAUCGCCUGGACACCAUCUGAUCAUGUAUUUUGCAGCCAGUUGAACACUUAAAGCAAAGGUCUUCUGUAACUAAUACCAUUCCAAGUAACCAACUGCAUGCCUUGCUAAAGCUUGUACUACUUUUGUCUAUUUCAGGUCUUUUAAAACACAAAAUCAUAGCUGGAAACUCGGCGCAGCAACGCGUGCCGGGAAAACAUCUAGUUCAGAUACUAUUUACAAGUUCAUGUCUCUCUCUCUCUCUCUCUGGUGUGUGACGAUUAGGGUUUUUUUCAGUAUAGUGUCUGGGUUCAUCUUGAACCAGAUUAUAGUUAUUCUUUUCUAAUCAUUGUCAUAUAAAGAUUAUCGUUGUCGUCGUAAUCUUUGAGAGUUAUUUUUAGAGAUGCUAGGCUUGUAUUUGAAUCGUUCAUUGUCAUAUUUUUG